rnacentral:rRNA from 1 species
CCUGAUAUUGAAAUUCGGCACAGCUUGUACAGGAUAGGUAGGAGCCUUUGAAACGUGAGCGCUAGCUUACGUGGAGGCGCUGGUGGGAUACUACCCUAGCUGUGUUGGCUUUCUAACCCGCACCACUCAUCGUGGUGGGAGACAGUGUCAGGCGGGCAGUUUGACUGGGGCGGUCGCCUCCUAAAAGGUAACGGAGGCGCUCAAAGGUUCCCUCAGAAUGGUUGGAAAUCAUUCAUAGAGUGUAAAGGCAUAAGG